ACCCAAAUUUUUAUCCAGGUUGACCUCGGAUCAGGUAGGGAUACCCGCUGAACUUAAGCAUAUCAAUAAGCGGAGGAAAAGAAACCAACAGGGAUUGCCCCAG
rnacentral:rRNA from 1 species